GACUGAAUAAGAAUCGAGGCAGAUGAAAUCGAACAACGGUAACAAAAUGGUAGCAGCAGAUGAAAUAGAACAAUUGUGGCACGCAGCUGAAACGAAGCAGUAGAUUAAAUCGAAGAACAGGGCUGCUCCUUGUCAAGAUCAAUCGAACAACGGUGAAAAAGUACAAUGCGUGCAGCGGUGAGGUGGUGGACACAGCUACAACGACGAUUAACUGCAGCUGCUCCUUCUCGUUCUCCAGUUGAACCACUGGUCAAAAGCCGUGCGUCGGAGCGGCUGAUGGCUACCUUUACAGAUGCGUGCUUUGAUAUCUAGAGAGGGUGAAUUUGUA
rnacentral:lncRNA from 1 species